GAUGAACGCUAGCGGGAGGCUUAACACAUGCAAGUCGAGGGGCAGCAUAGGGUAGCAAUACUCUGAUGGCGACCGGCAAAACGGGUGAGUAACGCGUAUGCAACCUACCCUGUACAGGGGGAUAACCCGGAGAAAUUCGGACUAAUAUCCCGUAAUAAUAUCCGGAGGCAUCUUUGGAUAUUUAAAGUUCCGACGGUACGGGAUGGGCAUGCGUAACAUUAGCUGGUUGGUAAGGUAACGGCUUACCAAGGCUAUGAUGUUUAGGGGUCCUGAGAGGGUGGUCCCCCACACUGGUACUGAGACACGGACCAGACUCCUACGGGAGGCAGCAGUGAGGAAUAUUGGUCAAUGGGCGCAAGCCUGAACCAGCCAUCCCGCGUGCAGGAAGACGGCCCUAUGGGUUGUAAACUGCUUUUCCAGGGAGAGAAACUUACGCACGUGUUGCGUGACUGACGGUACCCUGGGAAUAAGCAUCGGCUAACUCCGUGCCAGCAGCCGCGGUAAUAGUGU
rnacentral:rRNA from 1 species